rnacentral:rRNA from 1 species
GGCGGACGGGUGAGUAACGCGUAAAGAACUUGCCCUUUAGACUGGGAUAACANAGGGAAACUUCUGAUAAUACUGGAUAAGUUAGUAUAUCGCAUGAUAUGCAAAUGAAAGCUACGGCACUAAAGGAGAGCUUUGCGUCCUAUUAGCUAGUUGGUAAGGUAAGAGCUUACCAAGGCGAUGAUAGGUAGCCGGCCUGAGAGGGUGGACGGCCACAAGGGGACUGAGAUACGGCCCUUACUCCUACGGGAGGCAGCAGCC